rnacentral:lncRNA from 1 species
CUCCUGAACUGUGUCCUGGACUGUCCCUGCACGCUUGGAUUUGGGACUCUACUCGAGGAGCCUGGAAGCAGAGUGACUCAGUCUGUGUCCCUGAAGUUCACUCUGCUCACCUAACCUCAGGUACCAGGACCUCUAGCUCUAAGUGGACAUGGGCUGCCCAUGCCCAGCAGGCCAUCCUCCUGGCUCAGCGGUUCCUGGGGUUAUACUCUUGAUACAGAAUAGUGAAGGUUGUUUGAGCCAGACCACUUUGGCCCUGUUCUGGGAAGAUACACAGGCCCUUGGUGGGUGACAGUUUCCAGGUGUGUCUCAGCACUGGCCUGGAGGACAAGGCUAAGGAGUUUCCAUGAUGUCUGCCUUCAUGGGAAGUAGCAGCUUUGUUUAGCAGCAGGAAGGGCCCUGGCAGCCUCACUUGUCUCCCAGAAGUCUCCAUCUUUGCCACGUCUGCCUGUCCAUGGCCCAGACUCAGAGACUGAUCCUAAGGAGCCUGUAUGCCGAGUCAGCAAGGUAAGUGUGUGCGCGUUUCACUCCUGGGCACCUGUCCAGUCAUCACAGUCUCUUGACUCACUUAGCCUGUUGGAUAAUCACCCCUGUGGUUAACCACCAGGCGGUGUUCCUGAGGUUAGUGCUUUCCCUGCAGGGUGCAGUUGAUGAGGUUUGAAUGGUGUUAACAUCAGAUAUCCUGUGGUGCUUUUGUCCUUAUGAGAAUUGGGCUGACUUUUUUUUUAAUGACUUUAUUUUUUUUAGAACAGUUUUAGAUUCAUAGUAAAACUGAGUGGAAAAUACAGAGUUCCCGUCUACCCUUUACCCCCACACAAACACAACCUCUGCUAUUUGUAAAAUGGUAGACUUGUGCAUAAAAAUUCUGAGCAACACGGUAUUGCAUCAUUAGAGGAAAUAGCAUACUAUGAAAAUCAAAUGAAAUUCUGUGAUGAAGUUGAACAAAGAAAAAAUAAAAAAGAAAUAUGAGCAAGACUAAAGGGCUAUUUAAAUAGAAGUACUAGAUGAGAACACAUGAGGGUGAUGAAUUUGUCCAUGCUUUUCCAGCUGCAAGUACCUUUCUUUUCAUUUGCUUAAUUAAGCCCUACCAUAACCUAGAGGGUAGGGUGCCAGGAGCAUAUGAUGACUACUACAGCUGCUCAUGCUCUGAGGGCUUAGUCCUGGGUCAUUGCUGGCAUGCCACAAAUAUGUCACUGGUAACAAAAGAAAAUACUUGAGAUUUAUGAUUUAUGAGAGUGACCUCACUUUAACUGCUGUCUUGUAAACAGUGUGGUUCUUUUAAUAAUAGAGGGUGUUUUAGAUAGAGGUCAUCUAGAGGUAGUGACAUUAUCUCCAUGUUAAUAGGUAGAAAGCCAUCAGCAUCACCAAAGCAAGAUCAGCUGAGUACAAUAGAAAUUAAUGAAAGUCAAAUCAGGUGUGAAUGGUGAAGUGUGCAGAUGAAUUUGGACUAAAAAGUUGGGUUAAGUCAGGGCAGGAGGGUUGCUAUUGGGUAAUUUGAAUAAGACAGGAUUUAGUGAACUACUUGGUUGAUAGGAGUGAGAAUACCCACAGGAACCCAGACCAUCUGAGACACUGGAAGACAUAAGGGUGUUGUCAUCUGGAUGUUGGCAGAAGGAAAGUAGACGAACAAUGCCACACGAGGCCUGACAGUAUGUUGUACAGUUCCCAAAGGGCAGCUUUAGUAACUAAGACAUGUUCAAAUGAUGUAUUGGAAUGUGGUACUUAGUAAUCAACCAGUACAUAACAUACUCUGGGCGAGAUGUUUCAGCCUUUUCAGGAUUUAGUCAUUAGGACAAAAGAUGGGCUUUUUUUGGGUUGGUUUGUUCUUGGAGCUCAUCAAAUUUGACUCAAUAAGCAGAACCACUACCUUAAAGAAGGAACUUCCUUAGGAGGUGAAUAGAAGUUGAGCUUUUUAAAUUAUUGGGAAUGUGCUCAUGGGAAUGGCAUAUGUUUGGAUCUGAAACACUAGAUAAAGUUGAGAGGAUUAGUAAGGUGAGGUGGGGUUGAGGGAAUAAAUUUAUCUUAUAGAAGGAACAUUUUGUUAAUGUUUGAAUUGAACCUUUUUUUUUGUCUUUGUCUUCCUAGGGCUGUACCCGCAGCAUAUGGAGGUUCUCCAGGCUAGGGGUCGAAUCUGAGCUGCAGCUGGUGGCCUAUGCCACAGCCACAUCCAAGCCAUGUCUGCGACCUAGGCCAUAGAUCACAACAAGGCCAGGGAUCAAACCUGUGUCCUCAUGGAUGCUAGUCAGAUUGGUUUCUGCUGAGCCACAAUGGGAACUCCUGAAUAGAACUCUUAAAGUUGAUACUUAAAACAAUUGAGAGACAUCUCUGAUAGACUGGUUCAAAUUAAUUAUUACAGUCAAAGUGAGACACUGUAUAGUCCACCUUUUCAAAUUAAAAGUAUUUUCCUCUUUGGUCUUACUACACAUAAAAGCGAAUAAAGAACUCUAUAUAAAAAUGUAAUAUAUAAAUACUACAUGGCAUUGUGUAAGACACUGAGCAAAUAAGGUAGUGGCUUACAGUUUUUCCAACUUGUUAGGCUUAAUCUUGUGUAACUACUAAUUUUUUCAAACCACAUGACAGCUAAUCAGUUGGAGGCAUAAGAGAGGAUAGCAGAACCCAGUGAUAACACUUUUCUCUUGAACAGUGUAACACAGCUUUCACUUCAGCAUUAUUGCCCUUCUGCCAUGUGUAAAACAGAGGCUUUCAUUCUUAAAUCUUUUAAUUACCCUGCUCUUUAAGCAUACUUUCCACAAAACAGCAAAUGUUUGGUUCAUAAGAACUGCCUCUUUAUGAUGAACAUCUGUGGCUUUUAAUAUAAGAAUUUCUUAAUGAGGCUUUUGCCUUGUGUACUUUUAUUUUAAAAUUGACCUACCCUAAUAUGAUCACUUGAUCUGGUCUUAAAAUUGUAGCUUUUAUUCAAAAACUUUUCACAAUGCUAAUACUUUAAAUUUUCUCCUUAUCUUUUCAGAACAUAGUUUCUUUGUGUAUCAUUAAUAAAUUGCUUUUUAUUCAGUAAUGGGUAGAAAAUACUUAACUUUUGUUCCACCUCAUGUUUCUAAUAAUUGGUAAGAUAACAUCAGGAUAGGAUAUUUCAAAAUUGGUAUAAUACAAGCUUAUAUCCUUAAGAUCAGGUUAGGGUGUUUCAAAAUUGGUAUAAUCACAAGCUUAUAUCCUUAAUGAACUUUCAGUUUAUAUCUAUACAUCCCUGGAAAGACUUUUAUUAUGUUGACACGUUCAGUAUUUGUACUUCUUCAUUUUAUAUCUAUAUACAUCUAUAUAUUCUAUUCAUUUAAAAUAUAUAUUUCAUGACAUUUUCAACAUCACAUUUCCUCAUAUUAAACUGUUGUAAAAGUUUUUCAUUGGUAAUAUUUUAACAGAUACUUAAACCUAUUUUAUCAAGCAUGGAGCAUAAAUUAUUAGUUAUUUAAACAUUUAAUGCAAUAAACCACUGCAUCUAUAUUUAAGAGGUUUUUUGGGAAGGCCAGUGUUAUGCGAAAUAACUUGCACCUGUGCUAUCAAUCAGGCACGUUUCUUGUUUACCUGCAGAGAUUGGAGGAGCAGGUGAUUACAUGACCUGGAGACCCCAAUGCAGGCUCAUUUACUUCCUUCAUCCAGACAAAUGAUUACAGGCUUCAUCAAUCUUUUAAGGAACUACAGAGAAAAGUUUUAAAAUCAUGGUCCUUCAUGCAUGAAAAACCUGAGUAUUUUCUGCAUCAUAUAUUUCAGUUUUGUAGAGAAUAUUAAUGUGAUGGUAAAGAAGAAUUAUAAAUUUGCAGUAAAAUGAAGUUAUUUCCAACAAUUUUAACUUAAAUUGAACUCUAGGGUGGUCGUAGGGGCUUGACUUUUUUUUUCAUGGUUAUGGCUAGUAUUGUCUCAUCACUUAGAACAAAAAUUGGAAUAUGAGACAAUACAGGGAGGGUAAGAAAGUAAUGGAUGUGAAGGAGAUGGGAACAGCUGUUAAAUUGGGAUUUAUCUGGAGUCCUGUCAGAUGUGACGCUUCCAGUCUUUCCUCUUCUUUUCUCUGGCUAUCAUCUACACAUAUUUAGGAAUUGACUUCAUGGCACCCCUCCCAUGACCUUCAGGACUGGGUUAGGGUUUGCGAUUAUAUAAAAUCAUAAACAUUUUGUAUUUCCCCAACCUACAUGGCUUUUCAUACUGAAAUGUUGUAUUAUAAUUUCUUCCUUUCCAGAUGUAUUUUUCCUUAGACGGGAAUUGUAUCUUACUAGUGCUAAAUUCAUGGUGGUUGUGUCAUAACUGAUAAAUGAAUGGUUAUCAUUGAGCCUGGAAGAAUGGAUUGGACUGAACUGCAUUGCAGUAUAUUUGGCUUUAAAGAAGGGUAACAUGGGAGGGAAAAGGAAAUGUGGCUGGAUAUUCAAAGUCAGAACAUUUGGAAAAGAAUUAUUUCUGCUUUUGUAUUAUAGAGUGGUGGAACGUAUAUUCUUGACUAGUUCAGGAUUUGUGUUCUAAUUUGGGUACUUCAAUGGUAUCUACAUCUGUGUGCUAUUGGCAAGCUUCCUAAUCUCUCUGGACAUCAGUUUCUGUAUUUGUGAAAAGAAGGCCCUUAACUUGAUUUCCAGGAUUUCUUUGCAGCACAUAUACCGUUGCAUGAAUAGCAACUCGAUAUCAGUAACAGGGCUAGUGAGCCUCUUCUUGAGGUGAGGGUGGGUGUUGCCUUGAUUUGUCAAAUGUCAAUAAACUCUGGUGGAAGCAGAUAACAUUGAGAACCUUGAUUAUUUGUGGUGAAAGGAAUGUUGAUUAUUCCAUAUUACUGCCAGAGAUUCAGAAAUAGGAAUUGUGAUUAAAUUGCUCCUGUAUCACACAGACCUAAAGAGAAAGAGGGAAUGAAUUACAGACCAGGCCGAAAUGGAGUUACUGUUUACUGUAGACAAACACCAUUUGACAAAUAGGAGUUAAAUUAGGAUAACUGCUACUGUAGCAAAGCAAU